CGUGUCGUGAGAUGUUGGGUUAAGUCCCGCAACGAGCGCAACCCUUGUCAUUAGUUGGUAGGAAAGGGCACUCUAAUGAGACUGCCGGUGACAAACCGGAGGAAGGUGGGGAUGACGUCAGGUCCUCAUGGCCCUUAUGGGUAGGGCUACACACGUCAUACAAUGGCCGGUACAGAGGGCUGCCAACCCGCGAGGGGGAGCCAAUCCCAGAAAACCGGUCGUAGUCCGGAUCGCAGUCUGCAACUCGACUGCAGUGAAGUCGGAAUCGCUAGUAAUCGCGGAUCAGCUUGCCGCGGUGAAUACGUUCCCGGGUCUU
rnacentral:rRNA from 1 species